rnacentral:rRNA from 1 species
AACGAACGCUGGCGGCAUGCCUAACACAUGCAAGUCGAACGAGACCUUCGGGUCUAGUGGCGCACGGGUGCGUAACGCGUGGGAACCUGCCCUUAGGUUCGGAAUAACUCCCCGAAAGGGGUGCUAAUACCGGAUAAUGUCUUCGGACCAAAGAUUUAUCGCCUUUGGAUGGGCCCGCGUUGGAUUAGCUAGUUGGUAGGGUAAAAGCCUACCAAGGCGACGAUCCAUAGCUGGUCUGAGAGGAUGAUCAGCCGCACUGGGACUGAGACACGGCCCAGACUCCUACGGGAGGCAGCAGUGGGGAAUAUUGGACAAUGGGCGAAAGCCUGAUCCAGCAACGCCGCGUGAGUGAUGAAGGCCUUAGGGUUGUAAAGCUCUUUUACCCGGGAUGAUAAUGACAGUACCGGGAGAAUAAGCUCCGGCUAACUCCGUG